rnacentral:rRNA from 1 species
UACGUAGGGUGCGAGCGUUGUCCGGAAUUACUGGGCGUAAAGAGCUCGUAGGCGGUUUGUCGCGUUGUCCGUGAAAACUCACAGCUCAACUGUGGGCGUGCGGGCGAUACGGGCAGACUGGAGUGCUGCAGGGGAGACUGGAAUUCCUGGUGUAGCGGUGGAAUGCGCAGAUAUCAGGAGGAACACCGGUGGCGAAGGCGGGUCUCUGGACAGUUCCUGACGCUGAGGCACGAAGGUCAGGGGAGCAAACGGG